AUGUUUGCUUUAAAUUGAGUGUACAUUUUUCCCCUUUAAAAUAUAUUUGCAAAAAAAAUGUCAUGUAAGAUUUAUACACCUCAAUUAUAUUUGUAAUGAAUUAAUUAUUCAGGUAAAUAAAAUGUAUUUUACACUCACAUUAACAAAUACUGGAAUCCAAUGGAAAUUUAGAGUAUAUCUAAAUACACGGACAUAAUAAAUAAAACAAGAGAAUGAGUGAACAUAAUGAAGCAGCAGAAAAUGUAUUAUCUCAACAAGAAAUGUUGAAUUUUGUCUUUUGAAACCUGUUCCAAAGUGGUAAGCUUUUUGUAUUCAUCAGGAGUGUGUGUUUUCACAUUUUCAUGUCAUUCAGCAGUCUUUGACAAGUUCUUUGUGGCUAAGGAAAUUUAAAACUGCUUUGAAAUUCUCUGAGCAACUCACAGAUCCCAUCAAAAUAUACUGCCAUAGUAUCAAGAAAUGUUGAAGAAUUAUACCUUCAAAGCUGUGCCAAGAAACCUAGCCAGCAUCUUUCUCUCUUUCAUUAUCAAGCAGAGUUCUAUACCGCCUGCCUUUGGGCUAGGCAAUCCCAUAGAUAUUUCCCAUACAAUUGCAUACUGCCAAAGUUUUUAGACCAGAAAACACUUUUCUCACUCUGGGGAAGAAACAUGGUGUAAGCAGAAAAAGUAGUAUGCAAAAGCAAAACUGUCUCUGCCAUUAACCAACAAAUGAUGAAACUCUCCGGCAUUUGGUCUUUAUAUCCAGAAAAUAAUGGGAGUGUAUUGUAGCAUCUCUGGUGUCUCAUAGAGCACUCAAAGUAUGAGUCUUCCUUUCCAGUCAGUGAAAUGUCCAGUUCUCACAUAUGACCAGAAUUUGACUAUAUUACACAAAUCUCAUACAACCGUUCUUUGAGCUAAACAGUCUGUUAAAAGGAGCAAAUUUUGGGGUGGCUGAGAAGUCUGGAAGGGAAGAAGGGAGGGUUCCUCAAAUUAAGCACUCCCAUCUCCAAUAGAUUUGAUCCUUUUCCAGUGUUCUU
ensembl:lncRNA